AGUGCGCGCCAGGCCCUCUGCCAGGCGGAAAAACAUUUCCUGCUCUGAGCUCAUCUUAGUCUCCUGGGCGGGCGAGGCUUUGGUGCCCUCCGGGAGUGCCGACCCACCCACGUUCCGGAUCAGCGAAACAAACUCGGCGUCUGCACUGGCUUCCCGUCAUCCGAGCAGUACAGCCAAGAAGUGCUCUCAAAAGGUACAAAUUAAAUUCCUCUGUCGCAAGGAAGUGCAAGCGGAGCUUUGCUUUAGCUGUCAUUUUGCCAUUUCAUCUGGAGCUUUCAAACCCCAAAUCCAUAGCUCUGGACGUGUCCCAGGCAUCUCUCUAGAGUUUAUUUACAGCCCCAAACUUUUAAUUAUGAGCAUCUUCAAAAAUACUGAGACAUGGGCAGGAUCAAAAAUACUGGGACAUGGGCAGGAUCAAAAAUACUGGGACAUGGGCAGGAGAGUAUAAAGAUUUCCUUAUGUCCUUGUCGCCCAGCGGCAACACAGCCUCGUCAGUAUCUUUUCCUCGCACAGCUCUCAUGUCUUGCGGAAAGGUUCAGGUGUUGGUCAUCUGUCAGGUCAGUGUGACCUGCCUGCAGGGGGGAUCCAUGCAGACUGGGGAUGGGGGUGGCUUUGGGAGCAGAGGGACUCUGGCCAGUGUCUCUGCUUUUUCACUGUGUGACCCCGGGCAGAUACGUCAACGUCUCUGGACUUCAGUCCCCUGAAGCAAAAUCACAAUAAUGAGAAUCCGCUCCCAGGCCUGCCAUGAACGCGAAGUAGCCCAUAAACAGCAGCUCUGUGCGUGUGUGGACGAGAAAGUGAACGCGAGAGCUCUGCAGACCUCAAUCUCACGCCCGCAAGGAUUUGCCAAUGGCUGCUUAGAAAGCUGUGCUUACCCUGGGCCUCAAUGCAGCUGAUCACUUGGGGCAGUGGCACAGCAGGAACAGGGAGGGAAGCCCUUAUCCCCAGCAGCCACAAGAGUGGAGGCAAAACUUCAUACCCACCUUAGCUUCCCAAUUCCCCUGGCUGUCCUCCCAGCCUAGUUUUUAAAUAUCUGAAUCUUAAGCGUGCACCUAGGAGUAAUCUUAAUAAAUCGCAUCCCUCCCUGAAGGUCCGUCUGCUCUGCUCCUUCAUUGAGGUCUCCCCUGGCAAGCCACCACAGUUAUUCGGAUUCACAUUACUAAGACGCAGCAAGCCUCAUGGCGACUGAGCCCCUAAAUCUGGAGGCGGGGACUGAGGACACAGCCCAGCUGCAGGUGUGGGUGUAAGGGUGGCGUGAGUCCAUCCUGGGAAGGAUGUGUCUGCCCCAGGCUCAGAGUGCUGAGACUCUAGGGAGCUAUGUACCUUCUUGCAGGGAGUCUGUAGGCAUCUCCUUCUGCAAGGGUGAUAUUUCUGGCCCUUUACAAUGAGCGGUGCCUGGGGGCUGGAGGAGAGAACUUAGGGCAGGAGACAGAUGCUCCUGCCAUGUUUGCCACCCUCCCCCACUUGCCACCAUCCCCCAUCACCCUGCGAGAUGAACUCUGGGCUAAAGCAGGAGGGACGACCCCCCUCACCCUGACAGUCAUCCUGGGAGGGUCACAGUCCUCAUCUGACAGCCAAGGAAAGUGGCUCCCAGGGGCACGGGGCUUACCAGGGCCACCUGCAUAGGGGACAGCAGAGGUGGGGCCAGAGGCAAGGCCGGCUGACCCCAGAGCUCAGCUCCUAGACACCACCUCUCAAAGGUCUUGGAACACAGCUUAGAAAAAAGGCAUCCUGGCAUCUCGCGGGGUCUAAGCCACCCCUUGGGAACCAGGUGUGGCCCAAAGCUUCAUAGCACAGGUGUCCUCACAUGAGACUAAGUGGACUUUGCAGGAUGCAACCCUGGUGAGUGUGGCACAGCGUCUCCAAAGAACCUUCCCUCCUUUCCUCUUCCAUCUCUCUGUCACCUCCCUCCCACCUCUCCUUCCCCCCAACAAAUUCUUACUGAGCACCUGCUGGGCAUGCUGUGUUAGGCUCCAAGGGAAUACAAAAUUGCCAAAAAAUAGUCUCAAUCUUUGGGAAGCUCCACAAAUUCAUUUGCCUAUUCAUUGGCACCACAGAUGCUCUCCAGGCCCCCAUGGGCCAGGGACAGUGCCAAGUGAAUGGGAUCCUUGCUCUUGCAGGGCUGGCAUUCCCAAGCAAGAGGCCGACACUAAGGACUCGGGCAUAAACACACACACGUGCGGUGGGGGCCAUGCUUGCAUGCCUGAACAAGAACUGGGCUGGAAUUAGCAGAAAGUUAGGCUUGAACAAAAUAAAAGGACUUGGUUAGACCAGGUCUGAUCCUCAUCUAACAAAGGGGAUGAGGUUAAUAAACUGAAGACAAGCCUUGCGACUAAGGAAGGACAAGGCCUGCCUGGGAAGGGCCCUGAUGGGACCUGGUUCCCCGACCCCGACUCACAGGUGCAAUACCAUGCACCAGGGUCCCAGAGUUGCUGCAAGCAGUGAAUAAAAUUCCCUGCUGAUGAAGAGCUACGGCCAGCGUCUGGCCCAUAGGAAUUGCCCAGCAGACGUUGGGUGAGUCUGCACCGGCAAAGCCAGCUCUCCAGAGUCACCAUUAACGUGGUCACUUUCUCACGGCCUGGGAGGGUGUGAGUCUGACGUGGUGACGUGGGCCACAUUCGCGAGGAUCAGCCUUGGGUCAGAGUGAGGUCUACUCCUUUCUUCAGGGCAGCAGCCCCCUUUCCUCUGCCAGCACCACCAGAAUCUGAGCAGCCUGGCAAAGGCAUACACAGGCUGCGGGCACUCUCUAGGGUGGACGCCAAGGCUUCUUACUGGUCCUCCUCUUGUAACUUUAUUGCAGUAACUUUGGAGAGAGAAAAAAUGGAGCUGCUAACGUUUGCAAAAUUCAUCGCAAACAGUAUUAGAUGGCACUGAUUAAAAUGACUCAUUCUGCAAGG
rnacentral:lncRNA from 10 species